rnacentral:rRNA from 1 species
UACGUAGGGGGCAAGCGUUGUCCGGAAUCAUUGGGCGUAAAGGGCGCGUAGGCGGCUCCGCGAGUCGGGGGUGAAAUCGUUCAGCUUAACUGGACAAGGGCCUCCGAGACCGCGGGACUCGAGGGGGAUAGGGGUGCGCGGAACUUCCGGUGGAGCGGUGAAAUGCGUAGAUAUCGGAAGGAACGCCGGUGGCGAAAGCGGCGCACUGGAUCACUACUGACGCUGAGGCGCGAAAGCCAGGGGAGCAAACGGG